rnacentral:rRNA from 1 species
GAUGAACGCUGGCGGCGUGCCUAAUACAUGCAAGUCGAGCGAACGGACGAGAAGCUUGCUUCUCUGAUGUUAGCGGCGGACGGGUGAGUAACACGUGGAUAACCUACCUAUAAGACUGGGAUAACUUCGGGAAACCGGAGCUAAUACCGGAUAAUAUUUUGAACCGCAUGGUUCAAAAGUGAAAGACGGUCUUGCUGUCACUUAUAGAUGGAUCCGCGCUGCAUUAGCUGGUUGGUAAGGUAACGGCUUACCAAGGCAACGAUGCAUAGCCGACCUGAGAGGGUGAUCGGCCACACUGGAACUGAGACACGGUCCAGACUCCUACGGGAGGCAGCAGUAGGGAAUCUUCCGCGAUGGGCGAAAGCCUGACGGAGCAACGCCGCGUGAGUGAUGAAGGUCUUCGGAUCGUAAAACUCUGUUAUUAGGGAAGAACAUAUGUGUAAGUAACUGUGCACAUCUUGACGGUACCUAAUCAGAAAGCCACGGCUAACUACGUG